GCAGUAGCCACGGUAAUACGUAGGUCCCGAGCGUUGUCCGGAUUUAUUGGGCGUAAAGCGAGCGCAGGCGGCUAGAUAAGUCUGAAGUUAAAGGCUGUGGCUUAACCAUAGUACGCUUUGGAAACUGUUUAACUUGAGUGCAAGAGGGGAGAGUGGAAUUCCAUGUGUAGCGGUGAAAUGCGUAGAUAUAUGGAGGAACACCGGUGGCGAAAGCGGCUCUCUGGUUUGUAACUGACGCUGAGGCUCGAAAGCGUGGGGAGCAAACAGGAUUAGAUACCCCAGUAGUCCCUGUCUCUUAUACA
rnacentral:rRNA from 1 species